rnacentral:lncRNA from 1 species
UUUUUUUUUUUUUUUUUGGUCUUUUCAGGGCCCCACCACAGCACAUGGAAAUUCCCAGACUAGGGGUUAAACUGGAGCUGGAGCUGCUGGCCUACACCACAGCCACACCCACACCAGAUCCGAGACGCAUCUGUGAUCUAUACCACAGCUCAUGGAAACACCAGACCCUUAACCCACUAGGUGAGGCAAGGAUCGAACCUGCAUCCUCAUGGAUACUAGCUGGGUUUGUUAGGGCUGAGCCACAAGGGGGAAUUCCUGGAUCAAACUUCUGAUGGAGAGAUUAAAAUGUUGCUCGAGUUACAUGUUGAUACAUAGUAGCAACUACAGUGUAAGGUGGUACUAAUACUUAGCCCUUAAAACUUGAGUAUGAUGUCAUAAAGUCAACUUAAUCCCUUCAAAGUUCCUCUAAGCAUUAUGCCCUAAAAUUGAGGUUGUCCUUUUGUUUUGUGCAAAAGGGACUGGGUUUUUGUAUUCUGUUUGUUUUUUUAUAAUCCAUAUGCAUAGGUGUUUCAGAGAGAGUCUGACUCCUUAUGGAUGUGGGAAGCUAGACCUCCAUUGCGUUCUUUCCCAUUUUGCCCAGCGCAGGAUGCUAGCCUGCCUUAGGUAUAUGGAACAGAGUCAGGCUGAGUACUUGGGAAGCUGCAAGAAAAGCAGAGGAGGGAAGGGAAGUCUGAUAACCUUGUCACCCUUCCCCACUCCAUUAACUCUUGAGAGGUUUUUCAGAGCACAUCAGCCCCUCUUUGACAGUCACUUACUAAGGUUAAGGAAAUUCAUUACUAGUUGCCAAAACUGCCUGUUUGAAAAUGUAAUUAUUUUAUGGACUAUGGGAAGCAUGUUCAAGAGCAUAUAAUCAGUUUUAAGAUUGGGUUAUCAUAGCGUUAGACAAAAGGUUAAUUAAAUAUGAAAACACCCUGUAUUUUGAGUCCAAUUGAAUGUCAUUAUGAGGCUAACUGGUUUAAGCUACUUUUUCCUCAUAUCUUCUCUAGAGUUGAUACCAAAAAUUAGUGGAAUUCAAUUAUAGAAAUAUAUAUAGGAAUAUACAUCCCCUUGUCAAAUGUGGAAUACUCUCUAUUUCCAUUAAAAAUGUUCUUAUAUUAAACUAAACCAAGAAUUAAUAAAAUCCCUACUAAAAUGAGGCUGAUAUAUAUACACAUUUCAGUCCUGUCUCUAUUAGUAGGUGCAUAGAGACCACUUAAUGUAAAUAACUACAUAAAUAUUCACAUAUAAAUAUUAAUUCACUUGGGCCAUCUAUGUACCCAAAUUGUCCCCAUCCCAUCAAUGUCAUAGGAAAGCUAAACAAGUAUAGAAUAAAUUUGUAAAAAGGAGGCAGUGGAGGAGAAAAAGGAGGAGGAAGAAGACAGGAAGAAGAGGAAGGGCUUCAUUUAUUUACAUGUGUUUAUAUUUUUCCACUUAUGAAUAGAAACAAUAAACUGACUUCAAUACUGUAGACAUCAGUUUUUCUCUUUAAACUUUUAUUUAUUUAUUUAUUUUGUCUUUUUGCUAUUUCUUGGGCCGCUCCCGCGGCAUAUGGAGGUUUAGUAUAUGCCAAAUGUUUACAAACCAUUUGAAUUUUCACUGAAAUUAAAAAAUUUUCUAUAUUAGAAAUAAAAAUGGGAAGCUAAUAAAUUCAGUUUCUUUUAAUAUCUUGUUCAAAGUUGUUAAGAAGCAUUAGCAGCAAUCACUAAUGAUUUUCAUAGAGUCUAUGUUUUUUCUUGGAGCCUGAAUGAAUAUAGAAAGAAAACAAUCUCUCUUCUCGAAAACGUUUCUUUUUAAAAGCUGUAUUUUUGCAAGCACUUUGUUAACGUGUAGGUGU